rnacentral:misc_RNA from 1 species
CAACGUUCUCAGGGCGGGGUGCGAUUCCCCACCGGCGGUAAUGGCGCAGUUACAAGGAUGAAAGCGUAGCGAGCGCUGGGCAGGCAAGGCGUGAUUCGACGAGAAAGCGGAGUUUACUGCGGUAAAUGAGCAUUUCG